rnacentral:rRNA from 1 species
CAUUAAAGAGUUGAAAAACUCCAACCCCUGUGAACAUACCUUUGCUGUUGCUUCGGCGGACGAACGGGCCCCCUCGCGGCCUAGACGUCCGCCGAAGGUUCCAAACUCUGAAUCUUUGGUGCAUCUCUGAGGAAAAAAAGAAACCAAUAAUUAAAACUUUCAACAACGGAUCUCUUGGUUCUGGCAUCGAUGAAGAACGCAGCGAAAUGCGAUAAGUAAUGUGAAUUGCAGAAUUCAGUGAAUCAUCGAAUCUUUGAACGCACAUUGCGCCCGCCGGUAUUCCGGCGGGCAUGCCUGUUCGAGCGUCAUUUCACCACUCAAGCCCAGCUUGGUGUUGGGGCACCCGGCCGCCCGGCGGUCGGGGCCUCCAAGCACAUCGGCGGUCUCGCUAGGACCCUGAGCGCAGUAACUCGCGGUAAAACGCGCCUCGCUCGGGAGCUUCAGGCGGGCUCCAGCCGCUAAACUCCCCUAAACUUCUUAGGUUGACCUCGGAUCAGGUAGGAAUACCCGCUGAACUUAAGCAUAUCAAUAAGCGGAGGAAAAGAAACCAACAGGGAUUGCCCCAGUAACGGCGAGUGAAGCGGCAACAGCUCAAAUUUGAAAUCUGGCCCUAGGCCCGAGUUGUAAUUUGCAGAGGAUGCUUUUGGUGACGCGCUUACCGAGUCCCCUGGAACGGGGCGCCACAGAGGGUGAGAGCCCCGUAUGGUUUGACGCCGAGCCUCUGUAAAGCUCCUUCGACGAGUCGAGUAGUUUGGGAAUGCUGCUCUAAAUGGGAGGUAAAUUUCUUCUAAAGCUAAAUACCGGCCAGAGACCGAUAGCGCACAAGUAGAGUGAUCGAAAGAUGAAAAGCACUUUGAAAAGAGGGUUAAAUAGCACGUGAAAUUGUUGAAAGGGAAGCGCUCGUGACCAGACUUGCGCCGGGCGGAUCAUCCAGCGUUCUCGCUGGUGCACUCCGCCCGGCUCAGGCCAGCAUCGGUUUUCGCCGGGGGACAAAAGCUUCGGGAACGUAGCUCCUCUCGGGGAGUGUUAUAGCCCGCUGCGCAAUACCCCGGCGGGGACCGAGGACCGCG